UACGUAGGGAGCAAGCGUUGUCCGGAAUCAUUGGGCGUAAAGCGCGUGUAGGCGGCCCGGUAAGUCCGCUGUGAAAGUCGGGGGCUCAACCCUCGAAUGCCGGUGGAUACUGUCGGGCUAGAGUACGGAAGAGGCGAGUGGAAUUCCUGGUGUAGCGGUGAAAUGCGCAGAUAUCAGGAGGAACACCAAUUGCGAAGGCAGCUCGCUGGGACGUUACUGACGCUGAGACGCGAAAGCGUGGGGAGCAAACAGG
rnacentral:rRNA from 1 species